AUUGAACGCUGGCGGCAGGCCUAACACAUGCAAGUCGAGCGGAUGAAGGGAGCUUGCUCCUGGAUUCAGCGGCGGACGGGUGAGUAAUGCCUAGGAAUCUGCCUGGUAGUGGGGGAUAACGUCCGGAAACGGGCGCUAAUACCGCAUACGUCCUGAGGGAGAAAGUGGGGGAUCUUCGGACCUCACGCUAUCAGAUGAGCCUAGGUCGGAUUAGCUAGUUGGUGGGGUAAAGGCCUACCAAGGCGACGAUCCGUAACUGGUCUGAGAGGAUGAUCAGUCACACUGGAACUGAGACGCGGUCCAGACUCCUACGGGAGGCAGGAGUGGGGAAUAUUGGACAAUGGGCGGAAGCCUGAUCCAGCCAUGCCGCGUGGGUGAAGAAGGUCUUCGGAUUGUAAAGCACUUUAAGUUGGGAGGAAGGGCAGUAAGUUAAUACCUUGCUGUUUUGACGUUACCAACAGAAUAAGCACCGGCUAACUUCGUG
rnacentral:rRNA from 1 species